rnacentral:tRNA from 1 species
GGGGCUGUAGCGCAGAGGUCGUCGCGCCGUACUGCUCGUCGGAGGACGCCGGUUCGAAUCCGGCCCGCUCCA